AGAAGACCUUGUAUUCUGAUUCCAUGAGGCAAAGCACUUUUUCACCACUCUUCUGCAGUACUUCAGAUGUCAAGAAUUGGAAGGCAGAGGUGAAGCUUAGUGAGACAUCUGAAACACUACAUCCAGUUUUGAUAACCCAUUGUAAGGAGAACACCAAUAAACUUGGACCAGUUCAGCUUAGGACCUCCAGCUGAACUCCACUUGACCUUUUGCUCCAAAUCCCACUGAAAUCAGGUGGAGAGAAAUAGGGAUCAAACAGUACAAAGAAAUGUCUUUCAAUUAAAGAGCAAAAAAGAUCAUAUUUAAUCAGAUAAAAAAUCUCAGUCCUUCUGCCAACUGCAAAAAGCAGUCAGCUGCCUCAAAAUGGAAGGAAGGUACUCCUAAUACUUUCAAUGGGAUUUGGUGUCAGGGAGUAGCAAGUAUGAGGGUGUUCCAAGAGGGAAGACAAGCCAAAAGAUGAUGACACCAGCAGAA